AUGGAGAAAUGAGGGUCAGAAAAACAUCCGAAAAGUGUGGGUAAGUAAGCAGAGGAUAAAGGAUGAGGUGUCAGCGCAAAAGCGAAAUCUUAACUUUUAAGCAUAGGCGUAACCUUAUAUUGAUACUUUGAAGCAGCAAAUUUCUCCACACCUGGAUGCAGGAUUUGACAUCUAACAGCAAAGCCUGCACUGACGUGUCCUCAGUAUCCAGCCCUGAUUGGCGCGCCGCACACCCGGUGCCCGGAACCACACAGGCUUCCCUAGCCCAGGGUCAGCGGCGCAGCCUGGAAGCUCUGAGGAGCUCUGAGGACCGCCGCCUUAGCUGGCGGCGCCGGCUCUAAGCGUGGAGGCCGGCGGACCCCUUCCAAAAGUGGACCGAAAUUCCAGGGACGGAUGCCGGGUGGGACCGCGGACGGCCGCAGGCCAGCCUCCUGACAGCCGGGGCUGAGAGAACCGGAGGCAGCAAAUCGCACACCCUCUUCGCGCUCUGGGUCCCGGAGUAACUGGCGCAGGCCGCUUGAGAGAGACGCGAGACCCCCGACCAGCCCGCACCGCGGAGGACCGGAGAGGGCGAUUCGGGAAAGGGAGGCGGACGGGUGUCGGGGCGGGAGGCGGUGACUCACCUGAGAGGUAAUCGUGAUGCUGGAGUCGAUCAGGAAACUCAUGGCGAAGGGUGAGUAUCUGGUGAGAAGGCAGCUGUCUGUGAACCAGAACGAGGGCCCUUACUAAGAAGUGACCAUGCUGGCACCCUGAUCCUGGACUUCUGGCAUCUGGAACGUUUAUUCUCUCCACAGUGGUUGGGGCAGUCUGAGAAAAAAUGACCAACAGAAUAUGGUGGAAUCGAUGGUACACGACUUCCAAGUUUAGGUCAUAAAAGACAUUGAAGUUUCUGCUUUGGUCUCUUGAAUCAAUUUCUCUGGGGGAAACCAGCUACUGGGUCAUAAGGACACUCAAGCAGCCCCAUGGAGGGGCCCAAGUGGAGAGAAACUAACUUGCCAGCAUUAACUUGGUAGUUGUGCAGACGUGUGAAUGAGUGGAUCCUACCAUCCCAGUCAAACCUCUGAUAACUGAAGGUCCCACCUAUACUUGACUGCAAUCUUCCGAGAGACCCCACCCAAGCUGCUCUAGGAUUCCUGACCUACAGAAACUGUGAGGAAUAAGAUAUGCUUGUUGUUUUAACUCUCUAAGUUUUGGAGUGAUUUGUUACACAGCAAUAUACAACAAAUACACAAGUCAUCAUAGGUAAUAUUUUUAUUAAAUAUUUGCAUAGUACAAACCUGGGUCUCCAUCUUUGUAGGUCUUGAUUUUUGUUUUUUAUCACUCGCUGACUGUUAAGCCACAUAUUUAGGUUUUGUUACAAUCACACCUAACCUCAAUGUACCAAUUUCUGUAAAUAGAUAAUGCUAGAUACUAUAACAGAUAAAUCUUGACAUCUGAGUGGAUUAAUACAAUAAAAGUUUAUUUUUCAUCUCA